rnacentral:rRNA from 1 species
GAUGAACGCUAGCGGCAGGCUUAACACAUGCAAGUCGAGGGGUAUAGUUCUUCGGAAUUAGAGACCGGCGCACGGGUGCGUAACGCGUAUGCAAUCUACCUUUCACAGAGGGAUAGCCCCAGAGAAAUUUGGAUUAAUACCUCAUAGUAUAGCAGUUUCGCAUGAAACCACUAUUAAAGUCACAACGGUGAAAGAUGAGCAUGCGUCCCAUUAGCUAGUUGGUAAGGUAACGGCUUACCAAGGCAACGAUGGGUAGGGGUCCUGAGAGGGAGAUCCCCCACACUGGUACUGAGACACGGACCAGACUCCUACGGGAGGCAGCAGUGAGGAAUAUUGGACAAUGGGCGCAAGCCUGAUCCAGCCAUGCCGCGUGCAGGAUGACGGUCCUAUGGAUUGUAAACUGCUUUAUACAGGAGAACACUCCGACGUGUCGGAGCUUGACGGUACUGUAAGAAUAAGGAUCGGCUAACU